rnacentral:rRNA from 1 species
AAAAACGACUCUCGGCAACGGAUAUCUCGGCUCUCGCAUCGAUGAAGAACGUAGCGAAAUGCGAUACUUGGUGUGAAUUGCAGAAUCCCGUGAACCAUCGAGUCUUUGAACGCAAGUUGCGCCCUAAGCCGUUAGGCCGAGGGCACGUCUGCCUGGGUGUCACG